rnacentral:rRNA from 1 species
AACGAACGCCGGCGGCGCGCCUAAUACAUGCAAGUCGAGCGAGAAGACGUAGCAAUACGUUUGUAAAGCGGCGAACGGGUGAGGAAUACAUGGGUAACCUACCCUCGAGUGGGGAAUAACUAGCCGAAAGGUUAGCUAAUACCGCGUACGCUCCUUGGACUUCGGUUCAUGGAGGAAAGCGAUACCGUGGGUAUCGCGCUCUUGGAUGGGCUCAUGUCCUAUCAGCUUGNGGUGAGGUAACGGCUCACCAAGGCUUCAACGGGUAGCUGGUCUGAGAGGACGAUCAGCCACACUGGCACUGCGACACGGGCCAGACUCCUACGGGAGGCAGCAGUAAGGAAUAUUGCGCAAUGGGCGAAAGCCUGACGCAGCGACGCCGCGUGGGGGAUGAAGGUC